rnacentral:rRNA from 1 species
UACAGAGACUGCAAGCGUUUAUUCGGAUUCACUGGGCGUAAAGGGUGCGCAGGCGGCCGUGUGUGUCAGGUGUGAAAGCCCGGAGCUUAACUCCGGAAUUGCGCCUGAAACUACAUGGCUAGAGCAUUGGAGAGGGUAGCGGAAUUCACGGUGUAGCAGUGAAAUGCGUAGAUAUCGUGAGGAACACCAGAGGCGAAGGCGGCUACCUGGACAAUUGCUGACGCUCAGGCACGAAAGCGUGGGGAGCAAAAGGG